rnacentral:tRNA from 1 species
GCGGGGGUCCCCAAGCCAGGUUAAAGCCAAGCUUGAAUUAGGCGACAAAAGGGGGCAGUUAAAAAGCCUAAACUCAAGAUCUGCUGGCUAAGGCCUUCGUGGGUUCAAAUCCCACCCCCCGCA